rnacentral:rRNA from 1 species
UGGGGAAUUUUGGACAAUGGGCGAAAGCCUGAUCCAGCAAUGCCGCGUGUGUGAAGAAGGCCUUCGGGUUGUAAAGCACUUUUGUCCGGAAAGAAAUCCUUGGCUCUAAUACAGUCGGGGGAUGACGGUACCGGAAGAAUAAGCACCGGCUAACUACGUGCCAGCAGCCGCGGUAAUACGUAGGGUGCAAGCGUUAAUCGGAAUUACUGGGCGUAAAGCGUGCGCAGGCGGUUUGCUAAGACCGAUGUGAAAUCCCCGGGCUCAACCUGGGAACUGCAUUGGUGACUGGCAGGCUAGAGUAUGGCAGAGGGGGGUAGAAUUCCACGUGUAGCAGUGAAAUGCGUAGAGAUGUGGAGGAAUACCGAUGGCGAAGGCAGCCCCCUGGGCCAAUACUGACGCUCAUGCACGAAAGCGUGGGGGAGCAAACAGGAUUAGAUACCCUGGUAGUCCACGCCCUAAACGAUGUCAACUAGUUGUUGGGGGACUUCAUUUUCCUUAGUAACGUAGCUAACGCGUGAAGUUGACCGCCUGGGGAGUACGGUCGCAAGAUUAAAACUUAAAGGAAUUGACGGGGU